AUGGCAUCCCAGCUGGUCUCACUCAUGAAGCGAUUAUGGAGCCAUCUUCCCUCUUCUCUUAGCAGUUCCAAGAGCGACCCUCCGCAGCAGAUUCCUGAUCCCAACGGUGAUCCUCCAGCCGCUCAAGCCGGGGACACUCCCGCUCUUCAAGAUCCUUUGUCGAAGAAUCAUUCUCCCAAUGGCGAGAUUUACGGAAACCAGAUGCUUACCAGUUCCAAGAGCUACCCUCCACACAAGAUUCAUGAUCCUCCCCAUAAAUUAAUGGCGUCUAUGCGCUCCCGACUGCAACUCAUGCCGCGGCAGCUAGGAAAGGGAAGCGACUGUGGAGCUGUCUUGCCUUCCUUAACUACAGGAGCAACCCUGGAGCACCCGAUUUAUGAACCCCGGCAUCCUUCGCAAAAACGGAAGUCUUUGCAAAAAUUGUACAGCCUGUAA
rnacentral:rRNA from 1 species